rnacentral:rRNA from 1 species
UACGUAGGGACCAAGCGUUGUUCGGAUUUACUGGGCGUAAAGGGCGCGUAGGCGGCUUACCAAGUCACUUGUGAAAUCUCCGGGCUUAACUCGGAACGGCCAAGUGAAACUGUCAAGCUAGAGUGCAGAAGGGGCAAUCGGAAUUCUUGGUGUAGCGGUGAAAUGCGUAGAUAUCAAGAGGAACACCUGAGGUGAAGACGGGUUGCUGGGCUGACACUGACGCUGAGUGCGCGAAAGCCAGGGGAGCAAACGGG